GGAUUGUAGGCUGCAACUCGCCUACAUGAAGUCGGAAUUGCUAGUAAUCGCGGAUCAGCAUGCCGCGGUGAAUACGUUCCCGGGCCUUGUACACACCGCCCGUCACACCAUGAGAGUCGGGAACACCCGAAGUCCGUAGUCUGACCGCAAGGGGGACGCGGCCGAAGGUGGGUUCGAUAAUUGGGGUGAAGUCGUAACAAGGUAAC
rnacentral:rRNA from 1 species